AACGCUGGCGGCGUGCCUAACACAUGCAAGUCGAACGAGAAGGUGGAGCAAUCCAUGAGUAAAGUGGCGACCGGGUGAGUAACACGUGACUAACCUACCUCCGAGUGGGGAAUAACUCCGGGAAACCGGGGCUAAUACCGCAUAACAUCGCAAGAUCAAAGCAGCAAUGCGCUUGGAGAGGGGGUCGCGGCUGAUUAGCUAGUUGGUAGGGUAACGGCCUACCAAGGCGAAGAUCGGUAUCCGGCCUGAGAGGGCGCACGGACACACUGGAACUGAAACACGGUCCAGACUCCUACGGGAGGCAGCAGUGGGGAAUUUUGCGCAAUGGGGGAAACCCUGACGCAGCAACGCCGCGUGGAGGAUGAAGCCCCUUGGGGCGUAAACUCCUUUCGACCAAGACGAUAAUGACGGUACUGGUGGAAGAAGC
rnacentral:rRNA from 1 species